CCUACGGGGUGCAGCAGUGGGGUAUAUUGGACAAUGGGCGAAAGCCUGAUCCAGCCAUGCCGCGUGUGUGAAGAAGGCCUUCGGGUUGUAAAGCACUUUCAGUGGGGAAGAAAGCCUUGGGGCUAAUACCCUCGAGGAAGGACAUCACCCACAGAAGAAGCACCGGCUAACUCCGUGCCAGCAGCCGCGGUAAUACGGAGGGUGCGAGCGUUAAUCGGAAUUACUGGGCGUAAAGCGCGCGUAGGCGGUCUGAUAAGCCGGUUGUGAAAGCCCCGGGCUCAACCUGGGAACGGCAUCCGGAACUGUCAGGCUAGAGUGCAGGAGAGGAAGGUAGAAUUCCCGGUGUAGCGGUGAAAUGCGUAGAGAUCGGGAGGAAUACCAGUGGCGAAGGCGGCCUUCUGGACUGACACUGACGCUGAGGUGCGAAAGCGUGGGUAGCAAACAGGAUUAGAUACCCCGGUAGUC
rnacentral:rRNA from 1 species